GGGCUCUUGGCACAGGGGUAGCGCGCACGCUUCGCAUUUGUCGUUUGCGUGAGGUCGUGGGUUCAAUUCCCACAGUGUCCA